GUACACUCCUGCGGGAGGCAGCAGUGGGGAAUAUUGCACAAUGGGCGGAAGCCUGAUGCAGCAACGCCGCGUGCGGGAUGACGGCCUUCGGGUUGUAAACCGCUUUCGCCUGUGACGAAGCGUGAGUGACGGUAAUGGGUAAAGAAGCACCGGCUAACUACGUGCCAGCAGCCGCGGUGAUACGUAGGGUGCGAGCGUUGUCCGGAUUUAUUGGGCGUAAAGGGCUCGUAGGUGGUUGAUCGCGUCGGAAGUGUAAUCUUGGGGCUUAACCCUGAGCGUGCUUUCGAUACGGGUUGACUUGAGGAAGGUAGGGGAGAAUGGAAUUCCUGGUGGAGCGGUGGAAUGCGCAGAUAUCAGGAGGAACACCAGUGGCGAAGGCGGUUCUCUGGGCCUUUCCUGACGCUGAGGAGCGAAAGCGUGGGGAGCGAACAGGCUUAGAUACCCCGGUAGUCC
rnacentral:rRNA from 1 species